CAGGUUUUUAUGGGAGAGGAAGAAGUGGGGAGUAUGAAGACCCCAGGAAAAGAGUUUUUAAAGAGGAGGAGAUCCAAUUUCACACCUUUGAGUAGUCCAGCUCUGGAAUCCAGUACAGGAUUUUUGGAAGAUUCACCAAGAUCCAUCUUUCCUUUUCCUGCUAUUCUUUCCAAAUAGGUAAAGAAGUAGCUGAGGGAAACGCAGCUUUGUGAGGGAAGCCUGGAGCGUGAGAAAUCUGCUCACACUGGAUUCUGCCUCGGGCUCGACAGAAUGUCACAGCAGACCCGCGAUGUGACAGGCUCACUGGUGUACACACGGCUGUGUCGGCCAUGGCCCUGUCAGGCAACACACUGGUUUGGCAUCUAGCGGGUUGUGCUUGCAGAACAGCAGGCUGGCUCCGUGCACCUGCUCAGUGGGGCUGGGCUUUAGCAACCUGCAUUGAGGCUGCUCUUCUUAACUUUUCUCUAACUUGCUUCAUGAAAGUUAAUUCUGCUGGGACCCCACGAGGCAGCGGAGAGCCCACUCUGCCCAUGAUUGGUGCCCUGGGCUGGCACGCAGAGUUUAAUGGAGGAGCCCGGGAGAGAGGGAUGCCUGAGAACCAGGGAUGUGGGCUGGAGCAGUGCCACCUCCUCUAACUCACCCGCAAGCCCAGCCAACCGGCUAAACCUUCCCCACAGAGCCUCAGUCUCCUUAUCUGUAAAAUGGGUUACCUGGCACUUGUCCAGUCUUUCUGCAGUCAACAUCGCCCAGAUUCCAUGCAGAACCCUUUGCAGACUCCUGAGGAGGUACAGACAAGGAGUGUCCCUGUCCUCAUGGUGCUACAUGAAAAGGGAUCAGGACAGCAUAGUGUGUCCUCUGUCUUGAGAAGUUCGCAUCCAGCUCUGCCAUGGACCAGCCAUGCUCAUGGGUUGCCUCUCAUUUUGCUACGGACAGGAGACAGGAAAAUACUGGGUAGAAGAGGGCGGUUCCCGACAAAGGCCCCAACCUCAAGCCUGAAGACCCACGACCCUAAAUGAGGACAGCCAUUUCUGAUUUUGUGCCCAAAAAUUUGCCUUUUGGCCUGCCACACCCAACAUCUUGCCCCUAUAUAAACCCGAGACCUUAGCGGGCACACACACAAUCAGCCAAAUGUUGGGAUUAGCAGACCAGUGGACCAGCGGACCAGCAGACCAGUUAACGGUGGAACAA
rnacentral:lncRNA from 1 species